rnacentral:rRNA from 1 species
AGUGAACGCUGGCGGCAGGCCUAACACAUGCAAGUCGAACGGCUGCAGGGAACUUCCUCCUGUAUUGAUCGGCGGUCGCGGGAGUAUGGCCUAGACAUCUGCAUGUGCGUGGGCGUUAAGGUCCGGAAACGGACGCUUAUGCUGCUUCCGCCUUCGGCGUGCGAGUGAGAGAGCUUGAUCGCUAGCGCUCUCGCGUGAGGCUAGGUCGGAUUAGCUAGUUGGUGGGGUAAAGGCCUACCAAGGCGACGACCCGUAGCUGGUCUGAGAGGAUGAUCAGUCACACUGGAACUGAGACACGGUCCAGACUCCUACGGGAGGCAGCAGUGGGGAAUAUUGGACAAUGGGCGAAAGCCUGAUCCAGCCAUGCCGCGUGUGUGAAGAAGGUCUUCGGAUUGUAAAGCACUUUAGGUGGGGAGGAAGGGCAGUAAGUUAAUACCUUGCUGUUUUGACGGUACCAACAGAAUAAGCACCGGCUAACUUCGUG